rnacentral:rRNA from 1 species
UACGAAGGGGGCUAGCGUUGCUCGGAAUCACUGGGCGUAAAGGGUGCGUAGGCGGGUAUUUAAGUCAGGGGUGAAAUCCUGGAGCUCAACUCCAGAACUGCCUUUGAUACUGAGUAUCUUGAGUACGGGAGAGGUGAGUGGAACUGCGAGUGUAGAGGUGAAAUUCGUAGAUAUUCGCAAGAACACCAGUGGCGAAGGCGGCUCACUGGCCCGUUACUGACGCUGAGGCACGAAAGCGUGGGGAGCAAACAGG